rnacentral:rRNA from 1 species
CCUACGGGUGGCUGCAGUGGGGAAUAUUGGACAAUGGGGGCAACCCUGAUCCAGCCAUGCCGCGUGUGUGAAGAAGGCCCUCGGGUUGUAAAGCACUUUCAGUGAGGAAGAACGCCUGGUGGUUAAUACCCAUCAGGAAAGACAUCACUCACAGAAGGAGCACCGGCUAACUCCGUGCCAGCAGCCGCGGUAAUACGGAGGGUGCGAGCGUUAAUCGGAAUUACUGGGCGUAAAGCGCGCGUAGGUGGCUUGAUAAGCCGGUUGUGAAAGCCCCGGGCUCAACCUGGGAACGGCAUCCGGAACUGUCCAGCUAGAGUGCAGGAGAGGAAGGUAGAAUUCCCGGUGUAGCGGUGAAAUGCGUAGAGAUCGGGAGGAAUACCAGUGGCGAAGGCGGCCUUCUGGACUGACACUGACACUGAGGUGCGAAAGCGUGGGUAGCAAACAGGAUUAGAUACCCCGGUAGUC